AUUUAUAUAGUAUAAUAAUUAUUUCUGACUUCCAAUUAGAAGAUCUAUAAGUAUAGUAUAAAUA
rnacentral:tRNA from 1 species